GGCUAGAAUCUGAAAUACACGAUGGACAUGUAAUUGUUUUUUCGCAGCGUGUGCCUUUUCCACACGAGCGAGAUAUGUAACGGGUAGGCGUGCUUGAACAUUCAUAGGAUAUAAGCACUUAAACAGAGAUUUGGUUUCAUAGUAGAUUCCACACGAUACCGGACACACUGACAGGUAGCACGGGUUCAAGGACAGAAGAAAACCAUGUUGAAAGAAACGCUGUGUAUUCUGGUCGUCUGUCUGACUGUAGUCAUACCGGAAGUAGCCGGUGAUACAUGCAAGCGCUACACAGUAAACGGAUGUAGUAUCCCCGGUAAUCUCCCCUUUUUCUACAAGAAACGAUUCACAGGCGCUUGUAACAGACACGACGUUUGUUACAAUUGUGGCAAGUCUAGAGGUACGAGUCGGAAAACCUGCGAUCGUGACUUCCUCUCCAACAUGAAGAAAAAGUGCCGUUGGUACCUACCUCACUGUCGAUCGACUGCCUAUGUUUACUACUUCGCCGUCAGGGCUGGAGGAUCGAAGCGAUACAAGCAGACGUCGCCAUGGUGGUGCAAACAGAGCUGGGUUUCCGGUUGCAUGAAAUAGGACAAUCAUUCGGAAGCAUACCCGUGCAAAUGCGCAGGUAACUCCCAGUUUUGUUUCCUGCGGAUAAUAAACUGAGUAACAUAAUAAAAAA